ensembl:lincRNA
AUGGGAAAGAUUGACUCACGAGAGAUUGGAGAGGUAGAUUCACACAGUGAUAGUGCAAGCAGCUUGCUUCUAAUUAAAUAUGCGACUGAGUCUCAAUGCAUUUGCUUUCAGCCGCAGAGAGAAGAAGCUGCCCAAGAAUGGAAAGGAAGAAAUAUAUCACAUCAUCUGUCUGUCCACAGGCUUUCCUUGGGGCUUAUGAAGAUUCUUCAAUCUUCUCAAUCUUGCUGCAUCCCCCUCUCACUUGGCAGACUCUGCCUGAGCCCUCACACUGCUGCUUCCUUCACAUCAGUGGACUUUCCAGCCUCUUCUCUUCACACUGGCCCUUUAAGAAGACAUUUAAAGCAAUUAUUCAUGAAUGAAGGAGGGAAGAAAGGAGAGACAGAGAGAAUAUGGAUUUCCUCAUGGUUGUGAUUCCUCUUCACUCUUUUGAAUUUGGAAGGAUGGCAUACACAUCUGAAAAAUACAUAAUUUUAUAGCAAAUAUAUAAGCCACCUGAACUAAUAAUGCUACUGUGGAUCAACUCAUUUACUUCAGAAUGUCCUAGCAACUGAGGCAAAAAG